GAUGAACGCUAGCGGGAGGCUUAACACAUGCAAGUCGAGGGGCAGCACGAGGUAGUAAUACUUUGGUGGCGACCGGCGUACGGGUGAGUAACGCGUAUGCAACCUACCCUGUACUGGGGGAUAGCCCGGAGAAAUUCGGAUUAAUACCCCAUAAAUAUAUUUGGAGGCAUCUUCAGAUAUUUAAAGUUUCGACGGUACGGGAUGGGCAUGCGUAACAUUAGCUGGUUGGUAAGGUAACGGCUUACCAAGGCUACGAUGUUUAGGGGUCCUGAGAGGGUGAUCCCCCA
rnacentral:rRNA from 1 species